AAAUAUUUCGUGCAAGGUUAUAGGUUUUCAUUUUGAGGUUAUAUAAAGUCAUGUAUGUUAUCUUUGUAAAGGAGACUUAGAAAAUGUAGUAAAAAGAGAAUUUGUGAGUAAGUUUCUUUGCAAUUCUAUGUA